rnacentral:rRNA from 1 species
CCUACGGGAGGCAGCAGUGAGGAAUAUUGGUCAAUGGUCGGGAGCCUGAACCAGCCAAGCCGCGUGAGGGAAGAAGGUACAGCGUAUCGUAAACCUCUUUUGUCAGGGAACAAAGGCAGGGACUAGUCCCCGGAUGAGGGUACCUGAAGAAAAAGCAUCGGCUAACUCCGUGCCAGCAGCCGCGGUAAUACGGAGGAUGCGAGCGUUAUCCGGAUUUAGUGGGUUUAAAGGGUGCGCAGGCGGCCUGUUACGUCAGCGGUAAAAGCCCGGGGCUCAACCCCGGCGAGCCGUUGAAACGGGCGGUCGGGAGUUGGAGAGAAGUACGCGGAAUGCGCGGUGUAGCGGUGAAAUGCAUAGAUAUCGCGCAGAACCCCGAUUGCGAAGGCAGCGUACCGGCUCCACACUGACGCUGAGGCACGAAAGCGUGGGUAUCGAACAGGAUUAGAUACCCGGGUAGUC